rnacentral:rRNA from 1 species
UACGAAGGGGGCUAGCGUUGCUCGGAAUCAUUGGGCGUAAAGGGUGCGUAGGCGGCGCGGUAAGUCGGAUGUGAAAUCUCGGAGCUUAACUCCGAAACUGCAUUCGAUACUGCCGUGCUUGAGGACUGGAGAGGAGACUGGAAUUUACGGUGUAGCGGUGAAAUGCGUAGAUAUCGUAAGGAAGACCAGUGGCGAAGGCGGGUCUCUGGACAGUUCCUGACGCUGAGGCACGAAGGUCAGGGGAGCAAACGGG